UCGAGCGGAACGAUCCUAGCUUGCUAGGAGGCGUCGAGCGGCGGACGGGUGAGUAAUGCAUAGGAAUCUGCCCGGUAGUGGGGGAUAACUUGAGGAAACUCAAGCUAAUACCGCAUACGCCCUACGGGGGAAAGCAGGGGCUCUUCGGACCUUGCGCUAUCGGAUGAGCUUAUGUCGGAUUAGCUGGUUGGUGAGGUAACGGCUCACCAAGGCGACGAUCCGUAGCUGGUCUGAGAGGAUGAUCAGCCACAUCGGGACUGAGACACGGCCCGAACUCCUACGGGAGGCAGCAGUGGGGAAUAUUGGACAAUGGGGGCAACCCUGAUCCAGCCAUGCCGCGUGUGUGAAGAAGGCCCUCGGGUUGUAAAGCACUUUCAGCGAGGAAGAAUGCUUGUCGGUUAAUACCCGGCAAGGGAGACAUCACUCGCAGAAGAAGCACCGGCUAACUCCGUGCCAGCAGCCGCGGUAAUACGGAGGGUGCGAGCGUUAAUCGGAAUUACUGGGCGUAAAGCGUGCGUAGGCGGCUUGAUAAGCCGGUUGUGAAAGCCCCGGGCUCAACCUGGGAACGGCAUCCGGAACUGUUAGGCUAGAGUGCAGGAGAGGAAGGUAGAAUUCCCGGUGUAGCGGUGAAAUGCGUAGAGAUCGGGAGGAAUACCAGUGGCGAAGGCGGCCUUCUGGACUGACACUGACGCUGAGGUACGAAAGCGUGGGUAGCAAACAGGAUUAGAUACCCUGGUAGUCCACGCCGUAAACGAUGUCGACUAGCCGUUGGGGUCCUCGAGACCUUUGUGGCGCAGUUAACGCACUAAGUCGACCGCCUGGGGAGUACGGCCGCAAGGUUAAAACUCAAUGAAUUGACGGGGGCCCGCACAAGCGGUGGAGCAUGGUGGUUUAAUUCGAUGCAACGCGAAGAACCUUACCUACCCUUGACAUCGUGCGA
rnacentral:rRNA from 1 species